AACGAACGCUGGCGGCAGGCUUAACACAUGCAAGUCGAGCGCCCCGCAAGGGGAGCGGCAGACGGGUGAGUAACGCGUGGGAAUCUACCCAUCUCUACGGAAUAACGCAUGGAAACGCGCGCUAAUACCGUAUACGUCCUUUGGGAGAAAGAUUUAUCGGAGAUGGAUGAGCCCGCGUUGGAUUAGCUAGUUGGUGGGGUAAAGGCCUACCAAGGCGACGAUCCAUAGCUGGUCUGAGAGGAUGAUCAGCCACACUGGGACUGAGACACGGCCCAGACUCCUACGGGAGGCAGCAGUGGGGAAUAUUGGACAAUGGGCGCAAGCCUGAUCCAGCCAUGCCGCGUGAGUGAUGAAGGCCCUAGGGUUGUAAAGCUCUUUCACCGGUGAAGAUAAUGACGGUAACCGGAGAAGAAGCCCCGGCUAACUUCGUGCCAGCAGCCGCCGUAAGAC
rnacentral:rRNA from 1 species